AAACCUACGGGGGGCAGCAGUCGGGAAUAUUGCGCAAUGGAGGAAACUCUGACGCAGUGACGCCGCGUAUAGGACGAAGGUCUUCGGAUUGUAAACUAUUGUCGUUAGGGAAGAGAAAGGACAGUACCUAAGGAGGAAGCUCCGGCUAACUACGUGCCAGCAGCCGCGGUAAUACGUAGGGGGCAAGCGUUAUCCGGAUUUACUGGGUGUAAAGGGAGCGUAGACGGCUGCGCAAGUCAGAAGUGAAAGCCCGGGGCUCAACCGCGGGACUGCUUUUGAAACUGUGUAGCUAGAGUGCAGGAGGG
rnacentral:rRNA from 1 species